rnacentral:misc_RNA from 1 species
UUGCAUCUAUGGCAAGAAUUUCUCCUGUUUUGCCUGUUAUCGUCAGGAAUUUUUUGCAUCUAUGGUUCUUAAAAUUUCUCUUGUUUGGUACCGACUUGGACAGGGCCGUUUCAGGCCUUUGAACUGGAUCGAGUCCAGUUUAUCAUCUUUCUAAACUCAAAAGCGACAGAUGAAAAUGUACUUCUUAGAAGUUUGCUAUGCGGAUGAUUAGGAGUCUGCUUUGGAUUUGG